rnacentral:rRNA from 1 species
UACGUAGGGGGCUAGCGUUGUCCGGAAUCAUUGGGCGUAAAGCGCGUGUAGGCGGUUCGGUAAGUCCGCUGUGAAAGUCGGGGGCUCAACCCUCGAAAGCCGGUGGAUACUGUCGGGCUAGAGUACGGAAGAGGCGAGUGGAAUUCCUGGUGUAGCGGUGAAAUGCGCAGAUAUGUGGAGGAACACCGAUGGCGAAGGCAGCCCCCUGGGUUAACACUGACGCUCAUGCACGAAAGCGUGGGGAGCAAACAGG